rnacentral:rRNA from 1 species
UACGUAGGGUGCGAGCGUUAAUCGGAAUUACUGGGCGUAAAGCGUGCGCAGGCGGUUUUGUAAGCCAGGUGUGAAAUCCCCGGGCUCAACCUGGGAAUGGCAUUUGGGACUGCAAGGCUGGAGUGUGGCAGAGGAGACUGGAAUUCCUGGUGUAGCAGUGAAAUGCGUAGAUAUCGUCUGGAACGCCGAAGGUGAAAACAGACUGCUGGGGAUGGGCUGACGCUGAGACACGAAAGCCAGGGGAGCGAACGGG